rnacentral:lncRNA from 1 species
CAAUGAGAUGGUCAGAAGAGCCUGCGGCCGGUUCAGAGGCCGUUAUUGAUGCCAAUGAAAAAUAUUUUGGCGACAAUUUGAUCCCCGCUCCCUGUACAAUCAGAUGCUCAAUGGCAAAGAAACAGAAGGAUAAAAGUAAAAAAAUGAUAUUAAAAAUCUCUGUGAGAGUAACUCAGAUGCUGCUGCCACUCUAAAAUCCAUCAAUAGAGGAAUUCAAGGUAGACCAAGAUUGGAAAUAGAUAUUGGAUAUAGUCAGUUCUUCAUCUCCAGCUGAUGAGAAACGGAGAACGGAAAUGAUUCGAAACAUUCAAACUCUUGAUGAUUUGAAUAAUGAACUUCAGCUUUCAUUUGUCAGGAAGUUUUACUUAUCUAAGAAUAUUAUCUCGUAGAGCAAAUACACUAGAGGGCAAUCGUCAUGCUCAAAAAGUGCCGUGAAACUUUUGAGACCUGAGAAUAAAUUUUGAGGAACAGCAAUACUGACAGAAUGUUCGCAAAAUCUUACACUGAUGAUAUAAAGGACCUUGAUCCACUAUUUCAACCUGACGCUUUUAAUUAUUUAUCUAACGAUGAUAUAGCUAGAGUACCAAGGCUCCGAUUUUAAUGAGUCUUAA